rnacentral:lncRNA from 1 species
UGUUCCUUGAUGGUAUGUUCACGCGGUUCAAAUUUCUUUUGAUCAAGUUUUCUCUUUCUCUUUUAUGUCUGUGAACAAAUAAAAUUUGCAUCUUCUCUCAUUUUCACUAGAUUCUCAUCGCUUCCUUUUGAUACAUUCUUGGUCAAUCUUCUCUCUAUUAUGUUCCCAUCGCUUCCUUUCAUUUUCUUAGUUCAUCAUCUAUUUUGAAAACCUCACCGCCACCGUCAUCAGAAGACCAUCAUUGAUGGACACCAUCGUCGAUGGAGGUUUAAGAUUGUAUCAUGUACCAUGGUGCUAUGGAUGGGAGAACCAAGUCUGAAAGUUAGUGCGUUAAUAUACCUUGUGUUGCUGUCGAUGAUUGUCCAAAGGUAGAGAAACCUUUAAAUAUGUGGUGCAUGCAUCAAUAUUGUGUCUAUGGUUUUAUAAAACCCUAUAAGUGAAUAAUAUUAUGUGUGCUUCAUAAUAUUUUCACUUGUCUAAAUUAUUUCAAAAUUUGAUUUGUACUUUAUCUAGAUUUUCAAUUUAAAUGUAUUUGUAUGCAAUGCGCUCUUCUUUUACUUUCUUGUGUGUUAUCCCAUUAAGUUUUCCUAGCUAGUAAGGUUUUUAUUGACAUUGUUGUCUGUAAAAUGUAUUCCCUUAAUAAUAUAAUAUAUCAUUAUAUUUAUAUUUGAUUUGGUAAGAUAAUUUUCUACUUUUUAUCUUUAUGUAUGUUUGCCUAUGUAAAUUAGUUAAACUCUAGAUUAUUGAAAUUAAGUAUAUUAAUCUUAUUAUAAAGAAAUAUAUAUAUUAUUUUAGAUUAUCAUUUGUUUGGGUACAAUGAUUAUCAGUAUUUUAAUUGUUGUUAAAUAGAACUAUAAAAAUAAGAUUUAUUUUCAUAUUAAUCAAAAGAAGUGAUUCAAUAAGAACCGGAAAUAAUUGUUUUUAAGAAUAAAAUAGUGUGAUAUAAAUCAAGGAGAGAUCAAACCAAGUAAUUAGGUUUAAGUGGUUAAUGUGCUACAUCAAAAGACAGAUCAUUUAGAAGAAUCCGACUUUGAUUCUUGGGUGGAACAAUUCUUGGUUAGACUAUUCUUUCAUAGAUGACCAUGGAUUCUAAUUCCUCUUGGAACUAGACACAAAAAAAAUCAGGAAGAGAUACACAGAAUGGCUAAACCGCGAAAGUUUAUUAGGUCUUGCAACCUCUAAACCUAAUUUUUCCCUCUAAUAAUCUGUCAUUAAAUGCUAAUCCAUACAACCCUAAAAAAUUUCCCUCCUAUUCCAUUGCCAAUUUGAAUUUCAAAAAUCUGAUGGUUGUAUUUCCCUCACAUGCCACUCAUUUGUUAAUUGAGCAGUUUCCAACGCAAGACUAAUUUGAAAUUUAAAUUCGGCCACUACCAAUUACAUACUACUCAAUUUUAUUUUUUGUGAAGAAUACACACUACUCAAAAUAAAAAGGCAGCUGCAUUUACAUUUAAUUACUGUACAUUUCCCC